UACCAACAACAACCCUUUUUAUUUUUUCAUUUUACUCUUUAGAGUAAAACUCCUUUUCCCACCUUCUCUAGAGGGUGGGAUUUUUUU
rfam:Enterococcus sp. 7F3_DIV0205 scaffold00001, whole genome shotgun sequence.